rnacentral:rRNA from 1 species
AACGCGUGGGAACGUACCUUUUGCUACGGAAUAACUCAGGGAAACUUGUGCUAAUACCGUAUGUGCCCUUCGGGGGAAAGAUUUAUCGGCAAAGGAUCGGCCCGCGUUGGAUUAGCUAGUUGGUGAGGUAAAGGCUCACCAAGGCGACGAUCCAUAGCUGGUCUGAGAGGAUGAUCAGCCACACUGGGACUGAGACACGGCCCAGACUCCUACGGGAGGCAGCAGUGGGGAAUAUUGGACAAUGGGCGCAAGCCUGAUCCAGCCAUGCCGCGUGAGUGAUGAAGGCCCUAGGGUUGUAAAGCUCUUUCACCGGUGAAGAUAAUGACGGUAACCGGAGAAGAAGCCCCGGCUAACUUCGUGCCAGCAGCCGCGGUAAUACGAAGGGGGCUAGCGUUGUUCGGAUUUACUGGGCGUAAAGCGCACGUAGGCGGACUUUUAAGUCAGGGGUGAAAUCCCGGGGCUCAACCCCGGAACUGCCUUUGAUACUGGAAGUCUUGAGUAUGGUAGAGGUGAGUGGAAUUCCGAGUGUAGAGGCGAAAUUCGUAGAUAUUCGGAGGAAC